rnacentral:piRNA from 1 species
UGGUCAGAGCAAACACGAAAGGCC